rnacentral:rRNA from 1 species
GAAACCGCGAAUGGCUCAUUAAAUCAGCUAUGAUUCAUUGGAUCUGUACACCCAGUUUUCCUUGGAUAACUGUGGUAAUUCUAGAGCUAAUACAUGCACACAUAUAGUCCCUAAACCUCCUCUCUUGUCUUAAUGUGAUGAAAGAGAGAGGGAAGGGCGCUUUUAUUAGUAUCAAAACCGGUCGGGCUUCGGUCUGUUAACCUAUUUGAUGACUCUGGAUAAUUUUUUGCUGAGCGCACGGUCUUUUGCACCGGCGCCGCUUCUUUCAAGUGUCUGCCUUAUCAGCUUUCGAUUGUAUGUUAUGUGCCUACAAUGGCUAUAACGGGUAACGGGGAAUCAGGGUUCGAUUCCGGAGAGGGAGCCUGAGAAACGGCUACCACAUCUAAGGAAGGCAGCAGGCACGCAAAUUACCCACUCCCGGUACGGGGAGGUAGUGACGAAAAAUAACGAUGCGAGACUCAUCCGAGGCUUCGCAAUCGGAAUGAGUACACUUUAAAUCCUUUAACGAGGAUCAAUUGGAGGGCAAGUCUGGUGCCAGCAGCCGCGGUAAUUCCAGCUCCAAUGGCGUAUAUUAAAGUUGUUGCGGUUAAAAAGCUCGUAGUUGGAUUUCAGUAUUGGACUGAUGAGUUUUUUCACCUUCUGGUGAUUAAACGGAAUCAAGCUUCAAAACCUGCUAUCACAAUAAUUACAUUGUGUAUGGCUCAACUAGCUCACACGGGGUGCUCUUAAUCGAGUGUCCCGAGUGGCUGGUAUGUUUACUUUGAAAAAAUUAGAGUGCUCAGAGCAGGCUACAAAUGGCCUGAAUGUCUAUGCAUGGAAUAAUAUAAGAGGACCUCGGUUUUAUGUUUUACCGUGUUUCUUUUGGAAACCCGAGGUAAUGAUUAAUAGGACCAAGUGAGGGUAUUAGUACUGCGACGCUAGAGGUGAAAUCUGACCUCCAAGGAUGCAUUCAUUAAUCAAGAACGAAAGUUAGAGGUUCGAAGGCGAUCAGAUACCGCCCUAGUUCUAACCAUAAACGAUGCUAACCAGCGAUCCGCCGUAGUUAUUCCCAUGACUCGGCGGGCAGCUUCUGGGAAACCAAAGUCUUUGAGUUCCGGGGGAAGUAUGGUUGCAAAUCUGAAACUUAAAGGAAUUGACGGAAGGGCACCACCAGGAGUGGAGCCUGCGGCUUAAUUUGACUCAACACGGGAAACCUCACCAGGCCCAGACACUGGAAGGAUUGACAGAUUGAGAGCUCUUUCUCGAUUCAGUGGGUGGUGGUGCAUGGCCGUUCUUAGUUGGUGGAGCGAUUUGUCUGGUUAAUUCCGAUAACGAACGAGACUCUGGCCUAUUAACUAGUCGACGGAUUUCCAAACCAUGCAAUUGGUGUCCAGUUCGCAACAUUAUCUUCUUAGAGGGAUAAGCGGUAGUCCUAGCCGCACGAGAAUGAGCAAUAACAGGUCUGUGAUGCCCUUAGAUGUUCUGGGCCGCACGCGCGCUACACUGAAGGGAUCAGAAUGUUUUCCCCCUCCGAAAGGAGCGGGUAACCCGAUGAAACCCCUUCGUGAUAGGGAUUGGGGCUUGUAAUUAUUUCCCAUGAACGAGGAAUUCCCAGUAAGCGCAGAUCAAGAGUUUGCGUUGAUUACGUCCCUGCCCUUUGUACACACCGCCCGUCGCUACUACCGAUUGAAUGAUUUAGUGAGGCCUUCGGACUGUCGCUCUUGGAUAUCUUGGCUUAAUGCUAGUUCCUAGAGCUGACGGAAAGAUGUCCAAACUUGAUCAUUUAGAGGAAGUAAAAGUCGUAACAAGGUUUCC